rnacentral:lncRNA from 1 species
AAAAAUACAAUAGUGCCAUAUUUUGGGAAUUCAAUUAAAAUAUAUAUAACGUCACUUUUUUUGUAUAACUGAUGCGUUUGAACAUAUCAAAUAAAAAAUUAAAAUAAGAUUUUAAAAUAGUAUUUUGAAAUUGAUUAAUGCAAAAUAUAUUAUCUCUCGGUUGGACCAUUUAGUCGAGGUAAAUACUAAUAAAAAAUAAAAAAUAAAUAAAAAUGAUAAAAAUGAAACUUAGAAAGGCGCCAAGUGAGAAAUAUUAACUAAACAACUGAAAAAAAUAUAUAAUGUAAUUACUGGGUGUCUGAGCGAGUUCCCUUAUAGCUUUAUUCCAUCGUUUUUCUUAAAACCGAGGUAAAUGGUUGUUUAUUUUUAUAAAAAAAUGAAACCUGGAGCUCCUGGUACAUAUACCCUCAUUUUUUUAUUGUUCGAGGUGUUAGCUUCGUCAUAAAAAAAUUAUUUCUUAUAGUAUGUGCUCAAAU